rnacentral:rRNA from 1 species
GUGCCAGCCGCCGCGGUAAUACCGGCAGCCCGAGUGAUGGCCGAUCUUAUUGGGCCUAAAGCGUCCGUAGCUGGCUGCGCAAGUCCGUCGGGAAAUCCACGUGCUUAACACGUGGGCGACCGGCGAAAACUGUGCGGCUUGGGACCGGAAGAUCCAAGGGGUACGUCCGGGGUAGGAGUGAAAUCCCGUAAUCCUGGACGGACCACCGAUGGCGAAAGCACCUUGGAAGGACGGAUCCGACAGUGAGGGACGAAAGCUAGGGUCUCGAACCGGAUUAGAUACCCCGGUAGUCC